CUUGUCACGGCCACGCAGAGCGCCGCUCGUUCUGAGACACUCGAGACACUGACCGAGAGCGCCGCUCGUUGAGUGAGCUGACGAACUUGGGAGAGAGCCUUGUGAGUUAUUGAGAGAGAGAGAGGAACUGCUUCAACCGUGUAUGCCCUCUGUUGGACUCCGGAACUGAUUCAGAUUCAGAGCCUGUGGAGGUUCGGUGGCGAGCCAGGAAGGACGAGCGACUUGGACGGAACGGUGCACGUGUGGCCAGCCGUGGGAUCCACUCCGAAGAACCCCAGAGAUCAUCUCACUUCACUCAUUGACAUAGAUAAGGAAAUAACACACAAAUCUACCCGGGUAGUGAACUGAACAUUUCAGAUCAUUACACGUACACCACAGAACAGAGUUGAACUCUUACCUCCUAAUAAAGAAGGACGGACACUUUUAUUUGAACUUUUUUUAUUUAGUUUUUCAUGAAAGAGCUCUAUUUUUCAUAAUUUUUAUGUGUCAUACACUGUCAAAAAUUUACCUGUGUGAGACAAUAAAUUGUCAACUGUUAACUUCAUGUUCUCUCAUUUAAAUAACUAUAUCCAGCUCUCCGAACCUAGAGAGUGUAGGUGUCAGUAGUAUGGUUUUGUUCAAGAACUGCUAAGGGCGCUACAAUAAGUUUUAAAAUGUCCAAUUUAAAUGAUCAUCUUACUAUUUUCAUUCGUUAUCAACUUAGAGAAAAUGCAUGAAAAUCCUCAUAUUGAGUGGUGUACCAAAUACACCUGUUCAAAAAUACCAACCAGAAGAUCCUAAAUAUAGGAGGACUAUUCCAAAAGCAUGCUGUCAUGCUCGCUCGCAGAAACAGACCAAAUGAUUACAGGAAACCUCUUGUUUGUAAAGCUGUUAAUUUAGUUUUUUUUCCUUUUUGUUUAAUUUAGCUGGAUGCAAGCUGAAAAGUGAUCUUCUAAAAUGAUUCUCUAAACAAACAGCUCUUCACCACGACUGGAGAUUAAUGAUCACACAUUAAUUAACAAUCUGCAAUUCCUGAAGUCUGUGGUGGGUUCAAAGCCUUUUCCUGAGAGCUUAAAACAGAGAGUGAACCAGCAGCGUGUUUACAGAGAACAUCAGUGGAGGCUUGAGAGCAGCGAGGGUGAUGGAGGCAGGGAAUACAUGACUUUAAUAUCCCUGCAACAUAAUUAACUUGUUAUUGCUGUUUCAUUGAAGUUUCUAAUUAGCUUGAAGGCUGCAGCCAGUGCUACUGACGUGGAGUGUUUCAACCCCACAAAUUGGUUUCUGUGUGUUCCAGAAAUAAAAGAUCUUCCUUCCUUCCCUCUCUCUGCACACAGGAGAACUGUAUCUCAGCACGCUCCAGUCUGCCGAACGCACACCAACUGCCCCAGCCAGAGCAAGGGAGGUUGAAAACAAUGACUUUUGUUACUGUGCGUUUUACUGGAAAUUUGUUCCAUUGAUGUGCUGAAUAGCUGUCGUGGCCUGUUAGCUGGGAGCUGAGCUAGACUGUCACUAAAGGGCUGAGAUCUAUCUGUGUGUGUGUGUAGUUGUUCUUGUUUACAGGUUUGAAUCAGUAGAGUCCUCCCAUAUAGAAAACUCUCUCCCCCCCCUACCCCUCCAGAGUAUUUUCUCCCUCUUUCUCUCUAUACACGUGCAAACACACAUGCAGCAUAUCCUAAUUUGAUUCAUUCCAAAAGCCUGGUCUCAGUGGAGUAUUGUGUGAGUUUUGUUUUCCACAGUGACUGGAGGGUGGGAUAAUGGGGAACAAUUAAAUUGUGCUCAGCUUAUUUACUUUUAUCUGAGAAAACAAAUUGGCUGCGCAGCCAGGGAGGGCGGUCUGAGUCUCGAAACCCCCAAAAAAGGUCCGCAGAGGCAGACAACUAGGGAAGAAACCUAAUUUUACCAAACUUUGUCAAUUACAACUGCAAUUAUUGGGAUCCUUUCCCUUUACACUGAACCAUUUAGACAACACAAUUUUCUCCUUGAUGCGCUGUUGGUGCCGCUUAGGUUACAUAAAACUUACAUAAGCAAAGUAAUCAGAGGUUAGAUAAAGAGAAACUUAACAAUGGGUGAAAUCUAUUUCCCUCACUAUGUGCUCAAAAAGAAUCUAAUUUAGUCAAUGUGCUGUAUAUAUUUAAAUUAAUUUACACUACACUGAGAACUUUUUACUUUAGUAGCGACAUUGUUUCCUUAAUGAUAUCUGGAGGAGGAGCAAAGUGCAAACAAAUGCUAAUUUCCUUUGUUCACUUGAAUAAAUAGUUUACCAUUAUUAUCAAGUGAAUUACUGAAUGAUUGUCUUGUCUCAUUAGCCAGCCAUUCACACUACUAAUACCAACCACAGAAGCAAUAUCAGUGGAGAGGAGCGGGGAGGAGAGGAGAGAAGAGGAGAGGAGAGGAAAGGAGAGAUGUCUGAUGCCUGAAGGGAUUCCUCACUUUCAUCUCUAAACCCUCACAGUGUGCGAGAGGUUGAGAGAAAGCAAAAGUCAGAGAUAGAAAGAUGGGAACUUAUUUUGAUCUCGCCUUGGUAUGCCUUUGAUAGCGAGUUCUCCUGACAAGACACUUACACACUGCUUUAAAAUCAAACGCUCGCUUCUUGCACUGCACUCUGGUUUCAGUAGGUAUUUGUAUGCAUAUGCAAAUCUACGCCUUUAAGAUAGCCUCAAGAUUAUAUGAAGUUAGAUAAAAUAAAUGCACAAAAGUGAUAUUUGUUAUCAUAUUUUUUGGGUCUACUGUUUUUUUUUUUUAUAUCCAAAGACGACAUCUGUUUUCUUUCAACCUUUUCCUCGCACUGACUCUCAUUCUGUCUUUUGCUUUUGUUCUCCAUUUCUCUCCCGUUCCCUUUUCUCUCAGAUUCCCAUUACUUCAUGCCUUUUUUUGUCUUCUCACUUGUUCUCUGCCAUGUCUUUAAACUAAACAGUCACUUGUCUAAAUGCCUUUAAGAUUUGCAGCCUGAUAGCAGAGAAUUGAGACCUCGGCAGCCUCAGGUAAACACUCAGCUCUCUCUUUUACCCUGGAAAUUGAAUUUGAUCCACCAGCGGGCUGACUUUUAUUGCAUCUGACUCAUAUCGCUGCCUCUCACUCAUGUUGUUAUAUCUCAGAUGAAAGCAGCUACAACAAGGCCUCUGAUGAGCAUAUAAGCGAAAUAGUAAUGGGGUGGUUAAAUUACAAAUGCUGAUGGAAGGUUAAAACAAAAUUGGCAUUUUGGGCUUUAAUGCAUAAUGCAAUAAUUUCCAAUCCAAUUUCAAAUGUAGUAAUUCGCACUCCCAAGUCGUCAUUUUAUUUUUACCAUUUUAACAAAAAAGAAAAUUGCAAUACACAUUACGAUAUACAUUUUAGUUUUACUUUAGUUUUAUUUUUAAGCUCAGUCUCUUAACCUACUCAAAUGUGUUUGUGUCAAUAAAUAGCCAAUCACCAGCAUGAUUAGAUCUUGGCCCAAGCCUGCUGCAUGCUUAUUGGCUCAGGUUUUUAUUUGGAGAGAUUUAUUCAUUUAUUCUUUAGGUAUCAACAUUGGGUAUCAAAUGAUACUAUCAAUAGUAUCAAACCAAUUUGGUUGGUCCAAGUGCUAUAUUCUAUCCAUACCACAAUCUUUCCCUAACCUUAACCAAGUGCUUUGAAUGGCUAAACCUGACCAUAAAAAGAUGACUAAUGCUGUAGUGUACCCUGAAUGUUGAAAAAUAAUGUGAAAUAAGUGACACCAAGGGGUCCUGACCAAGCAUCCAUAUGUGAUAAAUUGGGAUUGAGAAUGCGUAGUUUGUAUCCACCUACUGAUUUUAAGUUCAAUGUUGUAGCUCUGUUUUUAGUCUCCAUCAACUCUUUGUUGGUGGAGACUUUGUCUCAUUGCUUUUUGGUAUUGGGUUGGCAGUGUACAGUGGGUUUUAGAGCUUUUUCAGUGAGCACAGCUGCCUGCUAUAUCCACAAACUAUAGUUUCAGAGCCUUGAGAGUGAUCGAGAACAGUAAAGUUGAAGGCUGUAAAACCAAAACAAUGGCUGAGAUGCAAUAAAGCAUCAUAGAGCUGAGAGGAACUGCAGUUGGGUGAUGAUUCUCUACUCCUUAAGUAUUGAUUAUAGCUGCUUUAGUUGAAUUAACACAUCAGGUGGCAAAUAGAAGUGUUCAGCACAUUUACAAACAAACCUUUUAUAGUGACUCUUAAAACGGAACUGACUAUACUAAAUCACCAUUGAUACUGAAUGAAUCAGUAACUUUUAGCAGUGGAGCUUGUCACACGUGAGAGUCUGCUUUUGUCAGCUCAGCCAUAAUGCACAGUACAUUACUUCCAUGUUGCAAACCUAUGAAAAGGCUGUGGA